GCAGGAAUGCUCGAGUGGUUAAAGAGGUCAGAGUCAAGCGAAUAAGCUUAUUCCGAACGGAAUCCUUUCUGAUGCGAAAGCUUCCUGGGUUCGAAUCCCAGUUCCUGCA
rfam:Trichosporon oleaginosus strain IBC0246 unplaced genomic scaffold CC85scaffold_1, whole genome shotgun sequence.